GGAAAGAUGAACAGAUGUGAACUUUCUUUUACAUAUUAUACCCCAGCUGCUCUUCACCCUUACUCACUCCCCAGUCUCUCUGUACUUUACAACAUCUUAAAAUGGUCCUUGCCCAGCUGGGGGCUUUUUACAUCACCAGGAAAAUAAGUGGUGGGAAAGGUUGCUAUGCAAUAACCAGAAAACAGUAAUAGCCAAAAUUAUGAAAGCUCUUUGUUGCUCUUAUGGGAAAGAAGCUAUUGAUAAGCGAUCCUGAGUAACCAAAAAGCAACUUCUGUGGAGAUGAUGCUGAGUGUAGGAAACACCUCCUGAGCCGCCCUACCUCCUGAGCCCUGUGGAGAUCUGACUUCUCCUGAAUGUCUGGUCUUGGUGUCUCAGAAUAUACACUUGGAGCCUGGAAAAUCUGUCCCCUUAGUGCUUCGCCCC